rnacentral:lncRNA from 1 species
CCGCUGCCUCGGCGGGGUCCUCGGCCUCUUCAGGCAACCAGCCGCCUCAGGAGCUGGGGCUUGGGGAGCUGCUGGAGGAGUUCUCCCGGACUCAGUACCGGGCCAAGGAUGGCAGCGGGACCGGCGGCUCUAAGGUUGAGCGCAUUGAGAAGAGAUGUCUGGAGCUGUUUGGCCGAGACUACUGUUUCAGCGUGAUUCCAAACACGAAUGGGGAUAUCUGUGGCCACUAUCCCCGGCACAUCGUGUUCCUGGAGUAUGAGAGUUCUGAGAAGGAGAAAGACACGUGAGCAUCAUGUGACCGUAGUGUACAUGUCUGGGGAGUCCGUGGCAGCUAAUCCCUGUGGCCAGGAAGUCUGUAGCUGGGCAGGGCAGAAUCACUUUCCCCAG